rfam:Providencia rettgeri DSM 1131 genomic scaffold Scfld5, whole genome shotgun sequence.
UCACAAACGACAUUGCUCACAUUGCUUCCAGUUUAGCAGGCCAACUUUAUAUGUUGGCCUUUUUUU